rfam:Enterococcus sp. 10A9_DIV0425 scaffold00002, whole genome shotgun sequence.
AAAUAAAAGCAGAAGCACCCGCUUCUCGCCUUAGUUGACGAAGUCACUGGGCUAGAUAGUUUUCACCUAUUUUGAUUAAGGUGGAGUACGUGCGGGUUCUAUAAGAACUCGUUUUUUUAUUGUCGA